GGCCUAACACAUGCAAGUCGAGCGGGAGAAUCAUCCUCCGGGAUGAGGAUCCAGCGGCGAACGGGUGAGUAACACGUGGGCAACCUGCCCGCAAGACCGGGAUAACUCCGGGAAACCGGGGCUAAUACCGGAUAGGCCUUUUCCCCGCAUGGGGAAAAGGGGAAAGGCGGCUUCGGCUGUCACUUGCGGAUGGGCCCGCGGCGCAUUAGCUGGUUGGUGAGGUAACGGCUCACCAAGGCGACGAUGCGUAGCCGACCUGAGAGGGUGAUCGGCCACACUGGGACUGAGACACGGCCCAGACUCCUACGGGAGGCAGCAGUAGGGAAUUUUCCGCAAUGGGCGAAAGCCUGACGGAGCAACGCCGCGUGAGUGAGGACGGCCUUCGGGUUGUAAAACUCUGUUCUUGAGGAAGAAUUCCUUCCAGGCGAACAGCCUGGAAGGUUGACGGUA
rnacentral:rRNA from 1 species